UGGGGAAUAUUGGACAAUGGGCGCAAGCCUGAUCCAGCAAUGCCGCGUGUGUGAAGAAGGCCUGCGGGUUGUAAAGCACUUUAAGCAGGAAAGAAAGGUGGGAGGUUAAUACCCUUCUGCUGUGACGUUACCUGCAGAAUAAGCACCGGCUAACUCCGUGCCAGCAGCCGCGGUAAUACGGAGGGUGCGAGCGUUAAUCGGAAUUACUGGGCGUAAAGCGCGCGUAGGCGGUUUGCUAAGUCCGCUGUGAAAGCCCUGGGCUUAACCUGGGAACUGCAGUGGAUACUGGUGAGCUAGAGUAUGGUAGAGGGUAGUGGAAUUUCCGGUGUAGCAGUGAAAUGCGUAGAGAUCGGAAGGAACACCAGUGGCGAAGGCGGCUAUCUGGACCAAUACUGACGCUGAGGUGCGAAAGCGUGGGGAGCAAACA
rnacentral:rRNA from 1 species